AGAGUUUGAUCCUGGCUCAGGACGAACGCUGGCGGCGUGCUUAACACAUGCAAGUCGAGCGAUGAAGUUCCUUCGGGAAUGGAUUAGCGGCGGACGGGUGAGUAACACGUGGGUAACCUGCCUCAUAGAGGGGAAUAGCCUUUCGAAAGGAAGAUUAAUACCGCAUAAGAUUGUAGUACCGCAUGGUACAGCAAUUAAAGGAGUAAUCCGCUAUGAGAUGGACCCGCGUCGCAUUAGCUAGUUGGUGAGGUAACGGCUCACCAAGGCGACGAUGCGUAGCCGACCUGAGAGGGUGAUCGGCCACAUUGGGACUGAGACACGGCCCAGACUCCUACGGGAGGCAGCAGUGGGGAAUAUUGCACAAUGGGGGAAACCCUGAUGCAGCAACGCCGCGUGAGUGAUGACGGUCUUCGGAUUGUAAAGCUCUGUCUUCAGGGACGAUAAUGACGGUACCUGAGGAGGAAGCCACGGCUAACUACGUG
rnacentral:rRNA from 1 species